rnacentral:rRNA from 1 species
GUUCGGACUGCAGCCUGCAACCCGGCUGCACGAAGCCGGAAUCGCUAGUAAUCGCGGAUCAGAAUGCCGCGGUGAAUACGUUCCCGGGUCUUGUACACACCGCCCGUCACACCAUGGGAGCCGGAGAUGCCCGAAGUCAGUGGCCCAACCGCAAGGAGGGAGCUGCCGAAGGCAGUGCUGGUGACUGGGGUGAAGUCGUAACAAGGUAUC